AAAAAACGAAACCAGAAGAAGCUAAAAAACGAAACCAGAAGAAGCCGAGGCCACAGCAGCUGGGCCGAGGCCAUUCUGUGAUACAGUAAACAGACCAAAAUCUGCUGAGACACUGGAGGGAGGUAGAUCACUUCCCCAAAUGCCACCUUGAGGAGAUUAGCAUCUCCAGAAAAGGGGUGGUUAUCCCACUCAGAAUAUUGCUAGGAAGGUGGCACAAGAAAGUCUGGAAAGGCGGCACAGGCCGGCCGCUUGCUCUGCCAGUGAGCCUUUCUCCUCUCCCGGCCAUGGGAUCUGGAGUGAAGACCUGAGUAGAAAUGAGCAGGCCCACUCUGUUGGAGUCAGACCUGAAGCCUGGCUCUGAGAGUCCCCAGGGCCAAGGCACCUCCCAUGAGUUGUUAAACACAGUCGCCACAUCCUUGUUCCUUUUCCGGGACAGAACUACACACCGUGACGCUUCACCAGGGCUGCUGUGAGCAUUACGUGGCACAAUAAUGGAAAAACCUUCGGCCAAUGCAGGAGAACAAGUUAACAACAUUCGGAGCAGAGCUGAGACGUGAACAUGAAUCUGUCUGGAUUCUAAAAUCCAUGAGCUGCUCAAGGAUCUCCACUAUGCCGGGUUGCACGCUGCUCCUGAAGCCCUCUGCUUCGCCCCCUGCCCCCUGCCCCCUGCCCCUUGCCCCCUGCCCCUUGCCCCCUGCCCCCUGCCCCCUGUCCCCUGCCCCCUGCCCCCUGCCCCCUGCCCCCUGCCCCCUGCCCCCUGCCCCCUGCCCCCUGCCCCCUGCCCCCUGCCCCCUGGGGUUUCUUGGCCAUGUCCAGCACCUGUGCUUUAGGCUGGAGCACAGCGCUCCCCAGCAGGCAGGCUCAGGCAUUGCGGAGGUGGCAGCUGUGGUCCCGGACCUGGCACCGGGGAGAUCCACCUGCCUGCUGCCUGGCAGGUGUCUGGAGCAUGUGCUUCGUUCCUUAUUCCAGAGACUCUGCAGGAAUCACAAGAUGCAAGGUUUCGGCUGCAAAGCUUCCUGGAGAUUUGCUGCAUAGGGCCGGUGCCCUUGUUGCUGCAUAGGGCCGGUGGCUUCUCUUAGCAUCCGGAAGAUGCCAUUAGAUAGUCAGCAGAAGACCCGUUGGUGAGAGCUUCCCCGUGUUCCCUCAUACCUGGGUCUUUGGGCUGCAGCACAGCCAGACCCUGGAGGCGUGGGUGGUAGAGCCCGUGCUGUUUUCUCCCUUUGGGCUGAACCUCAUCACACAGUGGGGCUGGGAGGGUCAUGCUGUGCCUUUAGAGCGCGCAGUUCUUCCCCCACACUGCAGCUGGGGCACUAGGCCGCCCACGGGAGACAGGUGGCCUGGCUCUGUGCUGAAACCUCUCCAGGCUCAGGGAGAGCUGUGGUUUCUCUCCCCACUGUGUGCCCUAUUUAAUACCCUCAUGCUCUAAGUGACAGUCACCCAGAGUCCCCGAAGCAUAAUUGUUGAGGAUGAAAAUGUUUGGGAAGAGGUAAAAAUGAGACGCCUGAAAUACUCAAGUUAAUAAAAAAAAAAAAAAAAAAAAAAAAAAAAAAAAAAAAAAGAUGGAGUCUCAAACUCAAAAAAAAAAAAAAAAUGAGACGCCUGUUCCCUCUCCUCUCCUCCCUCACCCACAGUUGUAACCUUCCCACCACACUUCUCAUAAAAGGCUUCUUUCCCCCACACAGCAAGGUAAAUAAAAAUUUCUGUCAUA